rnacentral:rRNA from 2 species
GGGGGUGCUAUACAUGCAAGUCGAGCGGACAGAUGGGAGCUUGCUCCCGUGAUGUUAGCGGCGGACGGGUGAGUAACACGUGGGCAACCUGCCCGUUAGACUGGGAUAACUCCGGGAAACCGGAGCUAAUACCGGAUGGUCUCUUUCUCCACCUGGAGAGAGGGUGAAAGAUGGCUUCGGCUAUCACUAAGGGAUGGGCCCGCGGCGCAUUAGCUAGUUGGUGAGGUAACGGCUCACCAAGGCGACGAUGCGUAGCCGACCUGAGAGGGUGAUCGGCCACACUGGGACUGAGACACGGCCCAGACUCCUACGGGAGGCAGCAGUAGGGAAUCUUCCGCAAUGGACGAAAGUCUGACGGAGCAACGCCGCGUGAGUGAGGAAGGCCUUCGGAUCGUAAAGCUCUGUUGUGAGGGAAGAAGCGGUACCGUUCGAAUAGGGCGGUACCUUGACGGUACCUCACCAGAAAGCCACGGCUAACUACGUGCCAGCAGCCGCGGUAAUACGUAGGUGGCAAGCGUUGUCCGGAAUUAUUGGGCGUAAAGCGCGCGCAGGCGGCUUCUUAAGUCUGAUGUGAAAUCUCGGGGCUCAACCCCGAGCGGCCAUUGGAAACUGGGGAGCUUGAGUGCAGAAAAGGAGAGUGGAAUUCCACGUGUAGCGGUGAAAUGCGUAGAGAUGUGGAGGAACACCAGUGGCGAAGGCGACUCUCUGGUCUGUAACUGACGCUGAGGCGCGAAAGCGUGGGGAGCGAACAGGAUUAGAUACCCUGGUAGUCCACGCCGUAAACGAUGAGUGCUAAGUGUUAGGGGUUUCCAGGCCCGUAGUGCCGCAGUUAACACAUUAAGCACUCCGCCUGGGGAGUACGGUCGCAAGACUGAAACUCACAGGAAUUGACGGGGACCCGCACAAGCGGUGGAGCAUGUGGUUUAUUUCUAAACCACCC